AGAAGUCAUUGGAUAAGGAUGUUCGUAAGUUGCUUUUCCAAAACCCAUCAAUCCUAGGUCAAGAUUUGCUCUCAACCCGUAAUUUUAUGGUCGAUUCCUGGGUAACUCUAAAUCGCGAGCCAUGUUUGAACUAUUGCAUACCUAGAUUGGGUCAUACAACACAAAGACCUGCAGAAUUUUCUAAUCUACGCCCAAAAACCUUGAAGCUACCCUUCCUGACUUACCUCAAAAAUCUCCAUGCUAUGAGAAAAUCCCCUAAUACUAGCAAUAACACACGACAUUUCAGAUCUGAACCCAUUUGAAACAAGCCAAAGGUGAAUAACAAUACCCAUGUGCAAAACCAGAGUGCUAAGCCUAUAUUUAACAAGGUAAUGAGGAGUCUUAAUUCAUCGGAAAUGGCCGAUAAAUUGACAAAGCAUUUAUUAUGUUUUGUGAUGAGCCCUUUACUCUAGAUCAUCAAUUGAACCAUAAGAUUACUCAAAUUAUAGCAGGUGUUAGGUCGUUUUCCAAUGGUGUUCAGGAAUUGGAGGGAUUACCAACUAAAAGGGACAGUUCAUUCCAUUGAGCUGCAAAAAGAAGGUGCUCUGAUCAGUGUGAGGCCAUAUUGGUACCUGUAUCACCACAGUGAGAUAGAAAAGCAAGUAUAGAGUAUGUUGAAACGAUGUAUCAUUAGGCAUAGCUCUAGUUCUUUUUCUAGCCCGGUAAUGUUGGUUAAAAAGAAGAAUGAGACGAGGAGAAUGUGUGUGGAUUAUUGGAAACUCAACAAAGUCACCAUACCGAACAAGUAUCCCAUUCCGGUUGUAGAGGAGUUGUUGGAUGAAUUGCAUGGUGUUGGAUACUUUUUUAACAUUGAUUUAAAGUUUGGUUACCAACAAAUAAGGGUGAAGGAUGAGGAUGCGCACAAAACAGCGUUUCGAACACAUGAGGGUCGCUAUCAAUAUUUUGUAAUGCCAUUCGAGUUGAUGAAUGCACGUGCCACAUUUCAAGAGAAGAUGAAUCAAAUGUUCAAACCAUUUGUUUAGAAAGGUUUAUCUUGGUCUGUUUUUAUAACAUUUUGAUCAACAGUAGAGCAUGGGAUGAUCAUGUGCAACACUUGACCCAAGUUCUUGAGGUGUUACAAGAAAGGGAAUUUGUGGCUCAAGUUCUUGAGGUGUUACAAGAGAGGGAAUAUGUGGCUAAUUGGAAAAAGGGCCGUAAAAGAGGUAGCAGUGGACAUGGAUAAAAUAAAGAGUGUGGUGAAAUGGCUAAUUCUCCAUAUAAUGCGAAAAGAAUGAGAGGAUUCUUGGGGUUGUCGGGGUACUAUAGAAAGUUUAUCAAAAGAUAUGGAAAAUUAGCUAAACCUUUGAUAAAAUUAACCAAGAAGGGUGUGUUCAAGUGGGAGAUGAGGUCUUGCAGGCCUUUGAAGAGUUGAAAAGUUUAAAGCGGCUGCUUUAGUGAGCAUACCCUGGGGUCGGCCCUAUAGAUUUUACGCAACCAAUUGAGAUUAAAUGUGAGAAGGGGAGUAGUGGUCAUUUUGAUAUAAAGAAGAGACCAAACGCAUUUUUUAGUAAGGCCUUGUCAAAAAAUAAUUUUGCAAAAUCAACAUAUGAGAAAGAAUUCAUGGCCUUUGUAUUAGCGGUGCAACAUUGGAGGCCUCAUCUCUUAGGAAGGAAAUUUGUGGUCUACUCAAAUUAAAAGAGGCUCAAACAUUUGCUGCAACAACGAAUAACGAAGGCUGGUCAACAAAAUUGGAUUGCUAUGCUUCUAUGCUAUCAUUUCGAAGUGGUGUAUAAAUCGGGCACGGAGAAUAAGACCGGUGAUUCCUUGUCCAGGAUGUUUGACAAAGGUGAGUUGAGGAGUAUCAUAGCAUUUCCUAUUUGGUUGCAAGUGCAACAAGAAGUAGGAGAAGAUGAGGAGUUGAGAAAGGUGAUAGAAGGUAUAAAAUCCUACCGAAUGCCCACCUCGGUUUCAGCUUGCAUAAAGGGAUAUUGCUCUACAAAAACAGGUUGUUUUGGCUUCCAAAUCAGCUUGUACACCUCCUGUACUACAUGAAUUUUACUCUACUCCAGCAGGGGGUCAUUUUGGCUUCUUAAGGACAUAUCACAGGGUGGCUGGGAAUUUGUAUUUGGUACCAGUGAAAAGGUCUAUGCCGGAUUUUUGAGUUGUGAUGUUUUCCCAAAGACAAAAAUACUCAGCUUAUUCGCCAGCGGGAUUGCUGCAGCCUCUUCCUAUUCCAAAGCAGAUUUGGUAAGAUAUUUCCCUUCAUUUCAUCACCGGUCUUCCUAAAUCUAAGGGGUUUGAGGCUAUUUUUGUUGUAGUGGAUGGGCUUUCGAAAUAUAAACAUUUCAUACCCUUGAAGCAUCCUUAUACUGCAAGGAAAAUAGCGGAGGUAUUCACAAAGGAGAUAGUUCGUUUGAAUGGAGUGCCAUAGUCCAUUGUAAGUCAAGUGGAAGGGACUAGCUGUGGAGGAUACCACUUGGGUGAAUGAAACCUUGCUGAAGAGUCAAAUUCCCCAAUUCAGCCUUGAGGCCAAGGCUGUUGCUGCAGAGGAGGGCAGUGAUAGAGUCUUGAAUUAUGUGUUUGCCUGUCUAGUAUUGUGCCCGAUGUGAGCCUUACUAAACAGAAGCCUAUUGUUUGGAAGGUCUACUCUAGGAGAAACAAAGUGGGGCCAGUGAGAGGGAAAGAUAAGUUGGUUAGUGAUUUUUAUUGAUAUAUUAUCACAAAAAAUUAAAUACCAAACUACCAUUAAUACCAAAUUAAAUAUCAAACUACCAUCCUUUUUUUUUACUUUUUAAAA